rnacentral:ncRNA from 1 species
GUUCACGUAACUGGCGAACAAUGUGGAAUAAACCACAGGGGAGCGUGAAACCGGCGGAACAAGUCGAUCGCCUGGGCUG